rnacentral:rRNA from 1 species
AACAAGGUCUCCGUUGGUGAACCAGCGGAGGGAUCAUUACUGAGUUUACGCUCUACAACCCUUUGUGAACAUACCUAUAACUGUUGCUUCGGCGGGUAGGGUCUCCGCGACCCUCCCGGCCUCCCGCCUCCGGGCGGGUCGGCGCCCGCCGGAGGAUAACCAAACUCUGAUUUAACGACGUUUCUUCUGAGUGGUACAAGCAAAUAAUCAAAACUUUUAACAACGGAUCUCUUGGUUCUGGCAUCGAUGAAGAACGCAGCGAAAUGCGAUAAGUAAUGUGAAUUGCAGAAUUCAGUGAAUCAUCGAAUCUUUGAACGCACAUUGCGCCCGCCAGCAUUCUGGCGGGCAUGCCUGUUCGAGCGUCAUUUCAACCCUCAAGCUCUGCUUGGUGUUGGGGCCCUACAGCUGAUGUAGGCCCUCAAAGGUAGUGGCGGACCCUCUCGGAGCCUCCUUUGCGUAGUAACUUUACGUCUCGCACUGGGAUCCGGAGGGACUCUUGCCGUAAAACC